AUCUUUCAAGUAUUUAAUGUACAAAUGACUUCCAAUUAUUUAGUCUUGGUUAAACCCCAAGGAAAGAUA
rnacentral:tRNA from 1 species